rnacentral:rRNA from 1 species
CAGCCAGACUCCUACGGGAGGCAGCAGUGGGGAAUAUUGGGCAAUGGGCGCAAGCUUGACCCAGCAACGCCGCGUGAAGGAAGAAGGCUUUCGGGUUGUAAACUUCUUUUAAGAGGGAAGAGUAGAAGACGGUACCUCUUGAAUAAGCCACGGCUAACUACGUGCCAGCAGCCGCGGUAAUACGUAGGUGGCAAGCGUUGUCCGGAUUUACUGGGUGUAAAGGGAGCGUAGGCGGCAGGGCAAGCCUGAUGUGAAAGCCCGGGGCUCAACCCCGGGACUGCAUUGGGAACUGCCCCGCUCGAGUGCCGGAGGGGCAGGCGGAAUUCCUAGUGUAGCGGUGAAAUGCGUAGAUAUUAGGAGGAACACCAGUGGCGAAGGCGGCCUGCUGGACGGUGUACUGACGCUGAGGCUCGAAAGCGUGGGGAGCAAACAGGAUUAGAUACCCCCGUAC